CUCAAAGGGCGAGAGUGGGUGGCUGGGCCUCUGCCGGCGAGGGUCCGUGACCGUGCUGCAGCCGGGAGGAGGCAAGUUGGGGGCGGGGCUCUGGUGGCCGAAGCCAGUGGUGGAGCCGCGCUGUCGGAGCGCCGCUGCUUUUGGAGUCUGCGGAGGUGUACAGUGACAUCCUGAGAGAAGAUGGGAAAGGGCUGCAAGGUUGUGGUUUGUGGCUUGUUGUCUGUGGGGAAAACAGCAAUUUUGGAGCAGCUCCUUUAUGGGAAUCAUACAAUUGGAAUGGAAGAUUGUGAAACGAUGGAAGAUGUAUAUAUGGCUUCAGUGGAAACGGAUCGGGGAGUAAAGGAACAGUUACAUCUUUAUGAUACCAGAGGCUUACAGGAAGGUGUGGAGCUACCAAAGCAUUAUUUUUCAUUUGCUGAUGGCUUUGUUCUUGUGUACAGUGUGAAUAACCUUGAAUCCUUUCAAAGAGUGGAGCUUCUGAAGAAAGAAAUUGAUAAGUUUAAAGACAAAAAAGAGGUAGCGAUUGUUGUGUUAGGAAACAAAAUCGACCUUUCUGAGCAGAGACAAGUAGAUGCUGAGGUGGCACAGCAAUGGGCAAGAAGUGAGAAAGUGCGACUGUGGGAGGGGAAGGUCAAUAAAAACUGGAAAGUUCAAGGCUAAGACGAACAUCCAGCUGUGUUCACAUGACUAUUCCUUCAGGGCAAUACUGUGGUCCUCUGGGCUGUUGCAGUGUAACACUAGUUACCCGGAAAAAACCAGGGUGCCAGGUCACAACCUGGACCUCAACAAAUACCCUGUCUACCUAGGUCACAGAAUUCACUGUAAUGGAGUCUCAACAGGUGAGGAGCCAGAAUUGGGCAAGGAUCACAGCAGUAGACAAAUCAACACAAGCCAUGGGAGCCUCGAUUGCUUUUUUUUGGUUUCCUAAUUCCAAAGUAAAAAUUAUCAUUUAGUAAAUGAGAAUCAUAGAUUAUAGAGUGUCACGGGAGAUAGGAUCCUAGAUGAGAAAACUGAAGCCUGGAGAUUAAGAAUGUGACGAGACCAAAAAAGGACGAGAAACAUGGAUACUUUGACAGUAACUUCUUUUCUGUUGAGUGGAAAACGGGAUUAAUUCUGAGUUGCUAUGUCACUAUAAACAGCAGGAUUUUAAGCACCAUCAAAACAAAGCACAUACUUCUAGAAAUGGUCUCUGCCAAGUGGCGAAGCUGCCCCCCACCCCUGCAGUGUCUUGUGUCCAUCCUAACGUACUUAGAGAUUCAUUGAGACGACAGAAAUCUCUUUUGUGAUUAAAACUCAAUUUUAAACACUUCAAUAGUUUCUCAUGGGAAUAUGUAAAUCUGAAUAUAAAUCAGGAAAUUCUUACCUUUGGAGGCUUGAAGGGGUAUUCAGGUGUAAAAGUGAUAUCAAGGAAGAAUACACCCCCUUCAUACACGGAUCCUGGAGGCCCUAGAAUGGUUGAUCUCCAUUCAUAGAUGUUAUCGCCUUUGGGACCAGCACUGUGAAAUAAUACAUCAAAAGGUUCUCACUUGGAAAGUUAGACCUGCUGGUCUGGAAGGUGGGUAGAGAGACCUACAGUAGAGAGAGUGGUUUACAACUCUCAGAGGGCCACUGUGAAGGAGAACUGGGAGCAAGAGAAUGCGUGAGACACGUGUACAGGGAAAGGUCUGUUCCAGCACCCCACCCUUUUCUCUAUAAAAUGACUGACUAGCUUUA